UUCUUAAAAUUGAAAAGAUGUUUCGGUAUGUGUCUCUGUGUGUACAUCUGUGUGUCUGUAUGUACAGGUUCAUGUGCACAUGUUUGCAGAGGCCAGAGGUCAAUGUCUGCUGUCUUCCUCAAUUGCUCUCCACUUUACUUUUGAGACAGGGUCUCUCACUGAACCUGGCACUAGCUGAUUGGCUAGACUUUCCAGCCAUCAAGUCCCUGAGACUCUCUUGUUUCAGCAUCCCCAGAGCUGGGGGACUGAUUAUAAGUACGUUCCUAACUUUUUCAGGUAGAUGUUGGGGAUCCAACUCAGUUUCUUUACCGAAUGAGCCAUCUCUUCAACCCCCUACUGCUAUUUUUUUUAAGCAGGUACAGAGGAUGCAGUGGUAAUUUUGAGUGGAGGGUGAUGAGUUGCCUGGGAGAUGGGAUGAGGAAUGCGUGUGGUAAAGAGGACUCUAGUCUGUUGGUGGUUUCUAAUGGGAACUGAGUGGUGAAGGGCUGAGGAGAGACCGAAAGAGAGUACGAGUGAUCGAAACAUCAGCAGACACUGCUGGUUAGAGACUUGAGACCCUGAUGAGCAACCAUCGUAGGAGGGGUGGAGAGAAGCUAUUCACACACGCUCAUAUACAGGAGAUGCAGUUUUCAAACCCCAGUGUGCAUGUGGCUCCUUCUCUGGUUGGUCUGGAUGGACCCAGAGAUGCUGCCAUUACCAACCAGACCUCCAGAAGUGCAGAGGAUGCACAGGUCACACCAGCAAGGAUGCUGAGGAUGUGAUGACUCACUGCUCAUGAGGAGAAAAAGGAGUUUUUGCCUGUUUUUUGUUUUAUUGUCUUUUUUUUUUUUAAGGAACUAAAUCAAGACAAAAGAUUAGCUUACCAUACUAAGUUUGGUUUCCUGAACUUGGCAUUAUGGGAUGUAGAAUAGUGUAAUGCUAAAAGGUUAGAUUAAUUUUCAGAUCAGGAUUAACCCCUUCUCCGCAAUUGUUAGAAAGAUGAUUCUGGGGUUAGACCUUUGCUCUCCGGUUUCUAGCUGGGAGGCUGCAGAGACAGGUCACACACUGCUGCAUUGAUUAAUGGAGACACUGUUGUACAAACAGGGGUGGCACUUACUGAAGGAAUAAAAAUCCUCUCUGUAGAUUUCACACGAUGUAAAGAGUAACACAGCUCCUGGUGAGGCCCGUCUGGGCCUUUUCACAUUCGACUUUUCUGUUAGGAUGAACGAUACUUCAGAUUGUUCUGUGUUUUGACAGCCUUCUGAACUUUGUGUUUCCUAAUUAUUCAUUAGCUGACAUAAUUUCAGGGCACUCCAGUGCCAGAAUUGGCAGCGGUUCCACCAGGACAGCAUCCAUGAGGAAACUGCAAUAGUUAGAUUCUUCCUUUUAAGGUACUUCUCCGGGAACAACCGUCUGAAUUAAAGAGGAAAGUGUGCGGUCAAACUCACUUACAAUCGCAGCCCAAUAAAGGUAAAUGGCAGGCUGUGAGUGUAAUCUGUGAACUCCCCCUUAUAUUUCCAACCAGCAGCAGAAUUCUGGUGAUUGCAGAGUUAGCUCUUUGGAAAUUAUCUUCAUCUGUGUGUUGAAUAUAAAAAGACUGGUGGAAAGGAAAUAUUUUCCUCUUAAACUUGAUCAGAACUUCCAAAACUGUCCUCACAUCUAUUGUCUGUGUAACUUUUUGGUGUAUGUGUGGUAUUAAGGAUUGAACCCAAAGGCCCCACUCAUAUUAGACAAGUGCUCAAUCACUGAACUACACCCUCACCCUCAUCUGCCCCUGUAUGUAAGUAAGUCUGUAAGAUUUGGGCGAUAAGGUUAAACUGAAGGGAACAAAUUUAUUACCUACAAAAAUUUAUGGAACAUAUUUUAUUCUGAAGGCCUCGUUAAUAACUAUUUACAGUAUCAACAAAUGGUGGUUAUAUUACCAUGUCGCUGGACUAUCCAAGAACAACCUUUUAUCUGUUGCUUCAUAAAAGAGAUCAGAAAGCAACAAAAAUAAAUAAAUAAAUUCCAGGCCAUAUUAUCUAGAUGUUAUUCUCAGAUAUAAUAGAGGACUCAUUAAGUUAUAACUGUUUCAAAAACAACUUAUCCUUUCCCAAAACUAAAUUGCAUAAAUUUUUAAAAUUUGUUUUGGGCUCAAGGACGGGGACACCAAUAAUGCAGAUUUGGAGACUGCUCUUCCUUGGUAUCGUCUAGUCAUUUGGAAUUACCCGUGUGCAUUCAUUACCAAACACACCAUCUAGAUUCCUGUCCCACCUCUUUGCAUUUUCUGUUCUUCAGCCUCCUUCAUUGCUGCACUCCAAUAUUUUCAUCCAGCCUAAAAACAUCCCACCUUUGACGCUGUAGGCCUCCAGAAGAGAAGCUCUGCUGCCAAAAUGAUUUUAACUUUGCUUGAGUAGUUGGCUGAAACCUUUGCCAACCUAUUUACCUUAAUUAGCUCCACAGGUAUGGUUCCCUCAAGAGGAACUCUAAGUGUAGUUGACUCCAGAUUCAAAACGGGAAACCCUCCAUCUCACGAAAUUACAGAACCAUUAAGGCUCUUUGAGACCUUCUCAAAAGUAACACCAAAUUUCUUCUUCAACUGAAAAGCUGAGUCUCCAUCUAAGAGUUUUCUUGCAUAUGGAGCUAAUCAUCAUUAGGCACAAACCACUGACAACCGAUCAUUGCUAGUACAGUAGUUGUUGACUGAGUAUAUUCUACCAUCUAGGUAUCUCCUCCAAGGAAUUCCUGAGACCUUUGUAAAACUUCUAACUAGAUGCAUUAAUCUGACACCUCAACCCUCCCCUUCUUGUAUUCAGCGACUCUAAAUGUAAUCUAACUGACAAUGUGAGAAACCUAGGCGUUAUCCAGCAAUCCUCCACUACCCUACAACCAAUCAUUUUCCAGUACCUGCUGGUUUUCACAUAUUACACAUGUGUUGACUGUUCUCUCCCUGAGCCCCUUCUGGGGAUUCUUUUUAGCUUAGGCUUGACCUUUCUCUGGGUAUUCAUAUUAACAUGCUAAGGGACUUUGCUGCAUCCAAUCAUGGCCUCUUCUAUUAUGAUUUCAAUGACUCUCAUCUAUAGCUUUGCUAUUUCCUUGGCAUAAAGUCUGCAGCUUCCCGGGAUCCAUUUUUAAUCAGGCUCGUCUCCUACCUCCUGCCCACUGGAUGUUAGCACUAUUGACACUCUUGAGUCAGGUAAGUCUUUGUAGGGGUGUUGUCUUGUGUGUUGUGGGGGUGUUUUAGCAUCACCCCUGGUCUGUCCCUGCUGAUUGUCAGUGAUUGCUCCUUCUCCCAGUUUUGGGAACCCAAAGCAGAUAAAAACACAGGACUCAGAUGAUUUUAGCUGGAUCUAACCCGAAAGCUUUUCCUGAGGUCCAGCUUCCAAUCAUGUCCUUGGGGGAGGGGUCAAAGCUCCCCAGAACUUACAAACAAGGUGUGUGCUGACUCCUAGCUUCCUGUACACAGUAGGCUAUCAAAUGUCUCCAUUUCUUUGUUUCUGUUUGUCCCACACUGCUUUUAUUCUUUUUCCCUCAAUACAGAGAAGGAGUGUGUCCCUGUGUACACUACAGACGAUCAGUCUGGUUGGCCAAGUUCUAAGGACUGCUUGGAACAAACCCUGAAGGGAUGAGGCCCAUUUCUCUGGAAGGCCACCCAGAAGUGUGUAGCCUAGUCUUCAACUACCUGCUACCAUGAGACUCAAGCUUAGCUAUCCUACUGCUCUUCCAAGGACAGCUUCUCACAUAUUAGAGGAAUAGAUGGUUCAGCUGGAACAUUUCUGGAGAAGGAGGACGAGCCCAUCAAUGCCUGUUCAGUUGCAAUGCAUGCUAUGGCCAGGAGACAUGUUUUCAACCCUAAUGAUCUCAUUAGAAUUUUUUCUCCAAGAAUUUGUUGUUCCUAAAGUGCUAGAUUUUCAUAAAGGAAAAUGCAUUUCAUUUUCUAUAAAUAUCAAAAUUAAUUACUCAUCGUUAUAACUAUUCAUUAAAAUUUAAAAUUAGAUAAGGAUGUUCUUUGUGGAUUUUCAAGUCUUGAAGAGAUUCAUUUUAUUAUAGCAUCUACAGCAUUACUAUUUAAGGAAAUCAUGACAUAAGGUUCAUAACUAAAUUAACUCAACACCUUCACCCAAAUACCAGGAAGAAAUUGGUGAACGAUGGUAGGUAAGUAUCAUGAAGGAAACUGUGAGCAACUGCGGAGAAUCAUUUCUGGGUCUCACCUCUGUGAACACACCAGGAACAGAACUCAUUCAUUUUCUCUUUCAUUCAUUCAGCCCGAGAGCCUAAUAUCAUCUAGGGAUCAUUUUUGGUGUCUAGGAUACAGCAACAGAACAGAUUGAACCACUCCCUGACCUUGCCUUCAUGGAAUGUGUAUUUUAAGGAGACAAGAGAGUCAGCAAUGAAAAUAAAUUAAGAAGUAUAUGGAAUGACAGUUGGUAUUCUUUGCUAUGGAGAAAAGUCAGGUAGGUAAGGGAGAGGGUGAGUGGUGUGGGGGUGGGAUUUGCUAUUUUAAACGGCGUGAUCAGGUGGCAUCUAAGCAGAGAUCAGAAGGAGUCACGUGAGUGUCUCCAGGAAGAGUUUCCAUGCUGGAGGAACAGUUUGUGCAAAACUUGUAAAGCAGGUGUGUGCUUGAUGCCCCUGAGGAAAGCCAGGAGACAGGUAAGUCAGGAAUGACACAACUUUAUACACUUUCUAAGUGAUUCCACAAGAAAUCAGAUUUUUCCACUCACUCACCCUUCCCAGCAACUGAAUUCAGUCACCAUCCAUCUAGUUUCUGGACCAGAGAUCCGGACUACAUCUUUUUUCUUUUCUUAUAGUUCUAUUGCCAAAAGGAACCUUGACCUAGUCUCUGUUCUUAUUCAUACAGCCGAAGUUCAGGCAAUCUUUUGAUAUUCAAAUUUGUUAUUUAUUAGUUCAGGCAAUUUUUAUCUCUCCUUUUAUUGCAAGAACUACUAAUGAACCGGUCUCCUCACUUGUGUUCUCUAUUUUCCCCUGCCCCGGCCCCAUCUCUGUCUCCAGAUAGAUAUAUCAAUCCAGCAACUUCAGUGAUC